AACAGUAGUCUGCACAUUGGUUA
rnacentral:miRNA from 3 species